GUGGCCUCUGGGGGAACGGUCCCAGUCCGCCUCCGGCGCGCACAGGGCCCUCGGCGGGGGUGCCGGGGGCCUCGAUCGCGAUGCCGGGAGCCUACG
rnacentral:tRNA from 1 species